GAAAUAAGAUUUUAAAUGAGUGCUAAGAGAAUGAUUAAACAAUUAAAAGCUUUCUUUAAUUAAAAAAUUAAAUUUAAUUUUUUAGUGCAAAAGCAAAAAUAAAAUUUAGGGACAAGAAGACCCUAUGAAUUUUUAUUGUUAAUAAUUAAUAUUUAAGUUAUUAAUAAUUUAAUUGGGGCGAUAAAAAAAGAAUAAGUAUCUUUUUAGAUAUAAAAUAAGUUCCGUUUUUAGCGAUUAAAUGAAAUAAAUACUCUAGGGAUAACAGCGUAAUAAUUUUGGAUAGUUCAUAUAGAUAAAAUAGUUUGCGACCUCGAUGUUGGAUUAGGAUUCUU
rnacentral:rRNA from 1 species